AGAGAGGCAAUGCGUACGAUACCCAUGCAUGUCAUUGAAUUAGAAUAUGAAAAGAUGGACUGCUCAGUAAUACUCAUUUUAUUUUAUGUAUAUACGAUAUAACUACGUUAAAGUGUAGAUAACAAAUAUACAGAUAAGAAUGAGACCUAUCACCUAGUUGUUAAGGUAAUGGCUUAACAAGGCGUUUACGGGUAACGGUAUUACUUUGUAAUAUUCCGGAGAAGGAGCCUGAGAGACGGCCACAAAGUCUAAGGAUUGCAGCAGGGGCGAAACUUGACCUAUGGAUAUGAUCUGAGGCAGUUAUGGGAGGUAAUUAUAUAAUUGUUUCAUAUUGUAAAAAGAUAUGAUUAGAUUAAUUGGAGGGCAAAUCAAGUGCCAGCAGCCGCGGUAAUACUUGUUCCAAGAGUGUGUAUGAUGAUUGAUGCAAUUGAAAAGUCCGUAGUUUAUUUUUAAGAAGCAAUAUGAGGUGUACUGUAUAGUUGGGAGAGAGAUGAAAUGUAACGACCCUGACUGGACGAACAGAAGCGAAAGCUAGUAUGUAUUUUUUGAACAAGGACGUAAGCUGGAGGAUCGAAGAUGAUUAGAUACCAUGGUAGUUCCAGCAGUAAACGAUGCCGACGAUUUGAUAUGAAUGUUAUAAGUUUGUAUUAGCUUAUAGAAAUAAGAGUUUUUUGGCUCUGGGGAUAGUAUGAUCGCAAGAUUGAAAAUUAAAGAAAUUGACGGAAGAAUACCACAAGGAGUGGAUUCUGCGGCUUAAUUUGACUCAACGCGAGGGAACUUACCAAUAUUUUAUUAUUUUGAGAGAAUUUUAAAUAUAAUAGAUUUGAAAAUAAUAAUAGUGGUGCAUGGCCGUUUUCAAUGGAUGCUGUGAAGUUUUUGAUUAAUUUCAACAAGACGUGAGACCCUUUUAUAUAGACUGACAAAAUAAAAUGUAGGAAGGAAAGGAUUAAAACAGGUCCGUUAUGCCCUAUGACAUUUUGGGCAGCACGCGCAAUACAAUAGAUAUAUAAAUCUUUAUGGGAUAAUAUUUUGUAAGAGAUAUUUGAACUUGGAAUUGCUAGUAAAUUUUAUUAAACAAGUAGAAUUGAAUGUGUCCCUGUUCUUUGUACACACCGCCCGUCGCUAUCUAAGAUGAUAUAUGUUGUGAAAUUAGUGAUAAACUACUUAAACUAAUAUGUAUUAGAUCUGAUAUAAGUCGUAAGCAGUUGGUGAUU
rnacentral:rRNA from 1 species